rnacentral:rRNA from 1 species
AAUAUACCGUGAAACUGCGAAUGGCUCAUUAAAUCAGUUAUCGUUUAUUUGAUAGUACCUUACUACAUGGAUAACCGUGGUAAUUCUAGAGCUAAUACAUGCUAAAAACCCCAACUUCGGAAGGGGUGUAUUUAUUAGAUAAAAAACCAAUGCCCUUCGGGGCUCCUUGGUGAUUCAUAAUAACUUAACGAAUCGCAUGGCCUUGCGCCGGCGAUGGUUCAUUCAAAUUUCUGCCCUAUCAACUUUCGAUGGUAGGAUAGUGGCCUACCAUGGUUUCAACGGGUAACGGGGUAUUAGGGUACUAUACCGGAGAGGGAGCCUGAGAAACGGCUACCACAUCCAAGGAAGGCAGCAGGCGCGCAAAUUACCCAAUCCCGACACGGGGAGGUAGUGACAAUAAAUACUGAUACAGGGCUCUUUUGGGUCUUGUAAUUGGAAUGAGUACAAUUUAAAUCCCUUAACGAGGAACAAUUGGAGGGCAAGUCUGGUGCCAGCAGCCGCGGUAAUUCCAGCUCCAAUAGCGUAUAUUAAAGUUGUUGCAGUUAAAAAGCUCGUAGUUGAACCUUGGGCCUGGCUGGCCGGUCCGCCUCACCGCGUGCACUGGUCCGGCCGGGCCUUUCCUUCUGGGGAGCCGCAUGCCCUUCACUGGGUGUGUCGGGGAACCAGGACUUUUACUUUGAAAAAAUUAGAGUGUUCAAAGCAGGCCUAUGCUCGAAUACAUUAGCAUGGAAUAAUAGAAUAGGACGUUGCGGUUCUAUUUUGUUGGUUUCUAGGACCGCCGUAAUGAUUAAUAGGGAUAGUCGGGGGCGUCAGUAUUCCGUUGUCAGAGGUGAAAUUCUUGGAUUUACGGAAGACUAACUACUGCGAAAGCAUUCGCCAAGGAUGUUUUCAUUAAUCAGUGAACGAAAGUUAGGGGAUCGAAGACGAUCAGAUACCGUCGUAGUCUUAACCAUAAACUAUGCCGACUAGGGAUCGGGCGAUGUUAUCUUUUUGACUCGCUCGGCACCUUACGAGAAAUCAAAGUCUUUGGGUUCU